rnacentral:rRNA from 1 species
UACGAAGGGGGCUAGCGUUGCUCGGAAUCACUGGGCGUAAAGGGUGCGUAGGCGGGUCUUUAAGUCGGGGGUGAAAUCCUGGAGCUCAACUCCAGAACUGCCUUCGAUACUGGCGAUCUCGAGUCCGGAAGAGGUGAGUGGAACUCCUAGUGUAGAGGUGGAAUUCGUAGAUAUUAGGAAGAACACCAGUGGCGAAGGCGGCUCACUGGUCCGGUACUGACGCUGAUGUGCGAAAGCGUGGGGAGCAAACAGG